GAUGAAGAACGUAGCAAAAUGCGAUACUUGGUGUGAAUUGCAGAAUCCCGUGAACCAUCGAGUCUUUGAACGCAAGUUGCGCCCGAAGCCAUUAGGCCGAGGGCACGCCUGCCUGGGCGUCACACGUCGUUGCCCCCCCAUCUACUCCUUCGGGAUUGCGGGGGGCGGAUGAUGGCCUCUCGUGCGCCUCGUCGCGCGGUUGGCCUAAAUGCCAAGUCCUCGGCGACGCACGCCACGACAAUCGGUGGUGGCGAAACCUCGGUUGCCUGUCGUGUGCGGUCGUCGCGCAUCGAGGGCUCGAAAAAAUUGCCGGGCUUCGGCUCGACUUUCAACGCGACCCCAGGUCAGGCGGGGUUACCCGCUGAAUUUAAGCAUAUCAAUAAGCGGAGGA
rnacentral:misc_RNA from 1 species